UGUAUAUAAGACCCCCAGAACCAUAAAAAAUGCAAGAAAUUCACUGUUAAUAAUUCAUUCUCGAAUUGCCCACUUGUGGGGAGUGCGCUCCACGUUGGGAACCACUAGAGCGGUCUGAUCGGAAUAGAACCUCCGAUUAUUGCCCGAAACUAUGGGGAGACGGGAGAAACUGUAUUAUAAGAAUUAAGUGAAAAAUAAUAGAUCUUUGAUUCUCCGGAUAUAUUUAUACAGUUAGCAAAAGAAUUGAUUAUAUUUCUGAACAAAUUAAAAUUUUCUUGUAAACAUGGCUCCGAAUUCUACGAAUCAUCCUGGUUGGGAUAAGUCAUAUUCUAUUAAUUCUUUGGCGCGUAUUAACUGACUACUUUGUUCGGACUUUCUGUUAAUGACUAGUAAAUGUUCAAAUAGAAAGAAGAAAAGGACACGGCCGCGGCGCGUGUGACGAAUUUUCUAAAUAUAUCAUUUAAUCUCAUUCGGUUAUUUAUUCCUACAUCAUCCCGUUGGCGCAACUGGGUUUCGAUACAGAUUUCAUUGGGCAAAAACAAAUCGAGGGAGGAAAUUUUUAAGAGAAGAAACGGUUCACCCGAUAUAAACUGAAAAUUUUAAUUGGCUAGAAAAGAGUGAGAUCGCGCGUUGGUCCUCCGCUUUACACACUAUAAGCGCCGACUACCGAGGCUUCAAAAAUUUGGCCAAAAGUUAAGCGUCUGUGUAUUUGUGCCGGAAGGAAAACUUUAGAAACUAUCGAAUGCUAUCCGGCUAGCCGAUGUUUAAUAAAAUUGAAUUUCCAGAGUAAAAGUAUCGAGUUUUAAAGAUGGCCCGGAGUUUCUAUGGCCGUUUUAAAUUACUUUCAAAAAAUCCUUUAAAACUCCUUUCCUCCGGCUGUUAUUUAUUAAACUGUUACUGAUAACAUUUAAACUAUGGCAAAAUAAAUGUUUAAUAGGAGAAAGCGGAAGAUGUAGUUGUGUUCUCUCGCAUCGAUUCCGAGAGAGAGAGAGAGAAACAUUUAGUUACUAAUGAUAGGGAGUAAUUACGGUGUAAGAAGGAAAUGAUGUUAUGUUCCAUUCUAGCUACCAAUCAAUGGCUGUAGUCUAAGUAAAGUGGCUGAAAAUGCGAUCAAUAAAUGGCGACGGGGUAAUUCAAUCUCCUUUCUCGCGCACAACCGUCCGCGAUUUCCACCCGCUCUCACUUCGUAGGGCCCUCCACCACACGCCAUCUCUCUUACGGGGCAACCUGGCUAUCUGUCACGCGACUGAUACGCGUGUACGGUAUCGGGCCCUAUUUCCAGUCGACCCCGAGUACCGCGUUUUCUGUGGUUCUUACGCGCCAGAAGUCGAUAUGGACUAAUUCCACUUCCGCGCAGGAAAACCAACUAUUUUUUCAGGGAGACGAAAUUUUUCUAUCUAACUUUCUCAGAUAAGUCUUAUCCCGGUUUUUCCUGGCAUAUUUUAAAAUCUCUUCUUCUUAAACCGUGGCAUUUCGGUAAAUUUAAAAAUUAAAUCCAAUCAAUCACGCUUAAAGUUGGGUUUCUUUUUUUUAUAAGUGACAAUUUCCAUUCAAAAUAACUGAGCUAUAGUUUCAGCCGAAAUGCCAUUUUCGUGGUACAUCAAUUUAUUAUUAUUAUUAUUAUUGGGUGCAAAAAUGUUCCGAACCCGAAGAAUGCGGUCGCGUAAUACAACUCGAUUAUUUUGGUAUAAGUACAUUAAUCUUUUGGCACAGAAAUAUUAUAGUGAGUGGUUUGACCAGGAGAAACGAACUAGAUAGAUAUUUUACGGUAGAAAUUGAAAUUAAAUGCUGGUUUGUCGGGUAAUCCGCCUAUAUUAACGGGAAUCCAAUCGGCCGAAUAUCCCGUUGUUCCGUCUAACUCGGAGUACAAGAGAAGUGAAAUGUAGCCACUGGCUCGCCACUGUACACAGCCAAAUCUCGGAGGGUGCGCUAGCUUGCCAGACAAACAUCUCCGAAUGGAGAGGCUGCCGUGGGUCGGAGAAAACAGCCUUUGUCUGCCAAUUUUCCCACUUUCUCAGCUAGGUAGAAUGGCGGUGCCCGACAUCGGCCCAAAACCCAAAUUAAAUGGUAAUAGGAAAAAAUUAAAGUGGGUUUUUAUAUAAUAAUUAAAAGACAUAAAACACCAAUUUUGUCUAAUUGCGCCUGGAAAUAAAAAUCAAACCUUCGGGGUUAAAUAUUAUACCAGAUUAUUUAAAUGAUUAAAAAGAGAAAUAAAGAUUAGGCAUUUUAAGUAGAUAUGGUCUUAGAGUAGAGAUCACCGAGUUGUUAAACGUGACGUUAUUGGUGAUGGUGGCUAACGGCAUUAAGGAGCUUAAUAACUUAAGUAACCAAUGGUAGAAGGCGUUUUAAUGAUAGCCAAAGGGUAAUUACUAUAUUUGAUGAUAUCACGUUGCCUUAAAUCUCUUAAGAAAAUACCAUUAAAAACGUUUUAAGUAAGUCUAAAUAGCCACCCGCUAAUGAA
rnacentral:lncRNA from 1 species